rnacentral:lncRNA from 1 species
UCUCUUCCUUGUUAGAGGCUUUUCUAUAUGUGGAAUGCUCAAGUAUAUUAAUAUGUUGCCUGCAAGUGCGUUUUUGGUUGUUCAUUGGUCGAUGUCUCGUGAUAUCUGUGUUUUCAUAACUGAUAAUUGCUUAUUGUGAAAACCGAGGCUAGACUUGCAUGUUGAGAUACUAUUCCUAGGGAUCCCACGGUGUCGAUAACCGUGAACCUCCAGAGGGGGCUGUGCUCCUAUGUUUGUCUAGGAAAGGUGAGUACAGACAGUAAACCAGUCAUAGGAGACUCAGAGGCAGGAAAUGGACACUUUCGCUACUUGUAGUCAUAAGACUACAGAGUAGUUGGCCGGUUCUCGAAGGAUGACGAACCAGGUCGGUCACAUAUUUAUUUUAGUUUAGCCGGCAGGUAAGUAUCUCGGAGCUCCAAAUUGUGUGAAGC